rnacentral:rRNA from 1 species
AUGAACUCGACCUCCCUAAUGCCAUGGGGUUGGACUGAACACAUCUCAGCUGUGCAUGUAGAGACUAGAAUAUACACACCCAUUCCUCAUAUUGCAAUAAAUAGUCACAUAUUACAUCUGGGUGAUAUCUCUGUACUUACAAAGUUAUUGAAGGUGAACUAUAUUGCAAUAAAUAGUCACAUAUUGAAGGUGAACCACUUGCCCGCGGUUGAUUCCUCUUCGCUCGGUCCUUUCCGUGAUGGGAUCUGCAUUUCACUUGUACCACUUUGUGGCUCACAUGUUGGCAGAAAGAAGGACGACGGCGGCUACCACUUUGGUGGGAGCAGCAGGGGAGUCCGCGGUGGCGCUUCUGCCUAUGGAUAUCAUGGUCGUGUUGUUUCGGGUUGUGCCCUAUUGUAG